rnacentral:rRNA from 1 species
CCUACGGGAGGCAGCAGUGAGGAAUAUUGGGCAAUGGAGGCAACUCUGACCCAGCCAUGCCGCGUGCAGGAAGAAUGCCCUAUGGGUUGUAAACUGCUUUUAUUUGGGAAUAAACCUUCCUACGUGUAGGAAGCUGAAGGUACCAAACGAAUAAGCACCGGCUAACUCCGUGCCAGCAGCCGCGGUAAUACGGAGGGUGCAAGCGUUAUCCGGAAUCAUUGGGUUUAAAGGGUCCGCAGGCGGACCAAUAAGUCAGUGGUGAAAUCCCAUCGCUCAACGAUGGAACUGCCAUUGAUACUGUUGGUCUUGAAUUCGGUCGAAGUGGGCGGAAUGUGUCAUGUAGCGGUGAAAUGCAUAGAUAUGACACAGAACACCGAUAGCGAAGGCAGCUCACUAGGCCUGGAUUGACGCUCAGGGACGAAAGCGUGGGUAGCGAACAGGAUUAGAUACCCUGGUAGUCCACGCCGUAAACGAUCAUUACUCGAUAUUGGCGAUACACAGUCAGUGUCCAAGCGAAAGUGAUAAGUAAUGCACCUGGGGAGUACGAUCGCAAGGUUGAAACUCAAAGGAAUUGACGG